rnacentral:rRNA from 1 species
GUGGGGAAUAUUGGACAAUGGGCGAAAGCCUGAUCCAGCAAUGCCGCGUGAGUGAAGAAGGCCUUCGGGUUGUAAAGCUCUUUUACCCGGGAAGAUAAUGACUGUACCGGGAGAAUAAGCCCCGGCUAACUCCGUGCCAGCAGCCGCGGUAAUACGGAGGGGGCUAGCGUUGUUCGGAAUUACUGGGCGUAAAGCGUACGUAGGAGGAUACGCAAGUUGGGGGUGAAAUCCCGGGGCUUAACCUCGGAAUUGCCCUCAAAAAUGUGUGUCUUGAGGCCGAGAGAGGUAAGGGGAAUUCCUAGUGUAGAGGUGAAAUUCGUAGAUAUUAGGAAGAACACCAGUGGCGAAGGCGCCUUACUGGCUCGGUACUGACGCUGAGGUACGAAAGCGUGGGGAGCAAACAGGAUUAGAAACCCCAGUAGUCC